rnacentral:rRNA from 1 species
GAUGAACGCUAGCGGGAGGCCUAACACAUGCGAGCCGAGCGGUAUUGUUUCUUCGGAAAUGCGAGAGCGGCGUACGGGUGCGUAACACGUGUGCAACCUGCCUUUAUCUGGGGGAUAGCCUUUCGAAAGGAAGAUUAAUACUCCAUAAUAUAUUGAACGGCAUCGUUUAAUAUUGAAAGCUCCGGCGGAUAGAGAUGGGCACGCGCAAGAUUAGCUAGUUGGUGAGGUAACGGCUCACCAAGGCGAUGAUCUUUAGGGGGCCUGAGAGGGUGAUCCCCCACACUGGUACUGAGACACGGACCAGACUCCUACGGGAGGCAGCAGUGAGGAAUAUUGGUCAAUGGGUGCAAGCCUGAACCAGCCAUCCCGCGUGAAGGACGACUGCCCUAUGGGUUGUAAACUUCUUUUGUAUAGGGAUAAACCUACCCUCGAGAGGGUAGCUGAAGGUACUAUACGAAUAAGCACCGGCUAACUCCGUG